UACUUGUUGGGAUAGCCUGUCGAUUUG
rnacentral:sRNA from 1 species